AUGUUGCAGCAGCACAUAUACUAAAAUUGCAGCGAUACAGUGAAGAUUUGCAUGGCUCCUGUGCAAGGAUGACGAGCAAAUUCAUGCCUGAUCUACAUGGUG
ensembl:snRNA Gm24537 predicted gene, 24537